rnacentral:rRNA from 1 species
GACGAACCGUACGAACGUUAUUCGGAAUUACUGGGCUUAAAGGGUGCGUAGGCUGUGCGGAAAGUUGGGCGUGAAAUACCUCAGCUUAACUGAGGAACUGCGUUCAAAACUACCGUGCUUGAGGGAGACAGAGGUAAGCGGAACUGAGGGUGGAGCGGUGAAAUGCGUUGAUAUCCUCAGGAACACCGGUGGCGAAAGCGGCUUACUGGGUCUCUUCUGACGCUGAUGCACAAAAGCUAGGGUAGCAAACGGG